rnacentral:rRNA from 1 species
GACGAACGCUGGCGGCGUGCCUAAUACAUGCAAGUCGAACGCUUCUUUUUCCACCGGAGCUUGCUCCACCGGAAAAAGAGGAGUGGCGAACGGGUGAGUAACACGUGGGUAACCUGCCCAUCAGAAGGGGAUAACACUUGGAAACAGGUGCUAAUACCGUAUAACAAUCGAAACCGCAUGGUUUUGAUUUGAAAGGCGCUUUCGGGUGUCGCUGAUGGAUGGACCCGCGGUGCAUUAGCUAGUUGGUGAGGUAACGGCUCACCAAGGCCACGAUGCAUAGCCGACCUGGGAGGGUGAACGGCCACAUUGGGACUGAGACACGGCCCAAACUCCUACGAGAGGCAGCAGUAGGGAAUCUUCGGCAAUGGACGAAAGUCUGACCGAGCAACGCCGCGUGAGUGAAGAAGGUUUUCGGAUCGUAAAACUCUGUUGUUAGAGAAGAACAAGGAUGAGAGUAACUGUUCAUCCCUUGACGGUAUCUAACCAGAAAGCCACGGCUAACUACGUGCCAGCCGCCGCGGUAA